AUUACAAGUUAUAAUUCAUUAAACACUUAUGAUCUUUUAUGCAAUUAAUGUACAGACCAUUUUUUUUUUUUUAAAGGAAUGAAGAUUUUUGCUCUCUCAUAUAUUGGAACUCAUUCCCGUUCCUCGUUCCAUUAUUUUGAAAGUAACGGAUUUCACGGAUUUCAGUGCUUUUCUAUCUACACCUACCUAUUUUAAGUAUAAAAUUAGAAAAUUAAAAACGUGUGCGUAAUAUGUUUGAAAUACAAUGAUUAUAAAUGAAAACUGUGACAAAACAACUUUACCGUAAUGAUGAACUUCGAAGUUUUUCAAUUCCCUCGGAGUACUGGGAAUUCUAAGACCGGAGAGACUGAUGGUAUUUGGUGCUAUUAUUUUAUUAUAAACUUUACACAGUAAUAAUAACACGACGGAAUAUAGUUUACUGAUAGGGGUGAGGCCUUAAAUUUAGAAUCAUAGAUACCGAGUUUGUUUUUGCUCGUCUACUUACAUCUGUGUGUAAAAUAUAUUAAAUAUUUUACGUGCGCGCGCACGUGUGUGUGUGUGUGUGAGUGUGUAUGUGUGUGUAUUUGU